GAUGAACGCUAGCGGCAGGUCUAAUACAUGCAAGUCGAACGGGAUUGAGGAGCUUGCUCCUCAUGAGAGUGGCGCACGGGUGCGUAACACGUAUGUAACCUACCUUAAUCAGGGGAAUAGCCUCUCGAAAGAGAGAUUGACACCGCAUAAAAUCACACUAUGGCAUCAUAGAAUGAUCAAAUAUCUACAGGAUUAAGAUGGGCAUGCGGAACAUUAGCUAGUUGGUAAGGUAACGGCUUACCAAGGCUACGAUGUUUAGGGGAUCUGAGAGGAUGGCCCCCCACACUGGUACUGAGACACGGACCAGACUCCUACGGGAGGCAGCAGUAAGGAAUAUUGGUCAAUGGGCGGAAGCCUGAACCAGCCGUGCCGCGUGCAGGAAGACGGCCCUACGGGUUGUAAACUGCUUUUGUACCGGAAUAAACCUUUCUACGUGUAGGAAGCUGAAUGUACGGUAAGAAUAAGGAUCGGCUAACUCCGUGCCAGCCGCCGCCGUAA
rnacentral:rRNA from 1 species